CCUACGGGCGGCAGCAGUGGGGAAUAUUGGACAAUGGGCGGAACCCUGAUCCAGCGACGCCGCGUGAGUGAAGAAGUAUUUCGGGUUGUAAAGCUCUAUCAGCAGGGAAGAAAAUGACGGUACCUGACUAAGAAGCCCCGGCUCACUACGUGCCAGCAGCCGCGGUAAUACGUAGGGGGCGAGCGUUAUCCGGAUUUACUGGGUGUAAAGGGAGCGUAGACGGUGCAGCAAGUAAGAGGUGAAAGGUCGGGGUCCAACCCAGGGACUGCAGUGGAAACUGUUGAACUGGAGUGCGUGAGAGGUAAGCGGAAUUCCUGGGGUAGGAGUGAAAUGCGUAGAUAUCAGGAGGAACACCAGUGGCGAAGGCGACUUACUGGACUAUAACUGACGCUGAGGCUCGAAAGCGUGGGGAGCAAACAGGAUUAGAUACCCCAGUAGUC
rnacentral:rRNA from 1 species